UCAUCCCCGCCGGCGGCCAACUAAACUCUGUUUUCUUUGGAAUUCUGAAUCAUAAACUUAAUAAGUUAAAACUUUCAACAACGGAUCUCUUGGUUCUGGCAUCGAUGAAGAACGCAGCGAAAUGCGAUAAGUAAUGUGAAUUGCAGAAUUCAGUGAAUCAUCGAAUCUUUGAACGCACAUUGCGCCCAUUAGCAUUCUAGUGGGCAUGCCUGUUCGAGCGUCAUUUCACCACUUAAGCCCUGUUGCUUAGCGUUGGGAGCCUACGGCAUAGCCCGUAGCUCCUUAAAGUGAUUGGCGGAGUUGGUUCUCACUCUAAGCGUAGUAACUAUAUCUCGCUUCUGUAGUAGUUCCGGCCCCUGCCGUAAAACCCCUUAUACAAAGGUUGACCUCGGAUCAGGUAGGAAUACCCGCUGAACUUAAGCAUAUCAAUAAGCGGAGGAAAAGAAACCAACAGGGAUUGCCCUAGUAACGGCGAGUGAAGCGGCAACAGCUCAAAUUUGAAAUCUGGCUCUAGGGCCCGAGUUGUAAUUUGCAGAGGAUGAUUUUGGCGCGGUGCCUUCCGAGUUCCCUGGAACGGGACGCCUUAGAGGGUGAGAGCCCCGUACGGUUGGACACCAAGCCUCUGUAAAUCUCCUUCGACGAGUCGAGUAGUUUGGGAAUGCUGCUCUAAAUGGGAGGUAAAUUUCUUCUAAAGCUAAAUACCGGCCAGAGACCGAUAGCGCACAAGUAGAGUGAUCGAAAGAUGAAAAGCACUUUGAAAAGAGGGUUAAAUAGCACGUGAAAUUGUUGAAAGGGAAGCAUUUA
rnacentral:rRNA from 1 species